UAAUAGUACAUUACGAUACAAGUGCGAAAAAUAGGAAAUUCGAAACGAGUGGCGAUAAAUUAAAACACGACCGAAGGGAGUGUUUUAAAUCGACACGAGUUGCGAAUUACCUAUUCGCACAUGUAUCGUACAACGUUUUACAGUACAUAUGGCCCUUUAAAUGUUCGACACAGUAACAUAAUAUGCUACUUCUCGCACUAGUGCUAUAAAGUAGCCCCAUAUGUACUGUAAAAUUUGUAUUAAAAUCGAACGAAAACAAACAAAUUUAAUAUACUCGUAACUCUGUUAAAAUAAAAAAUAAAAACAUUCUGAUAAUUUCGCGUUUAUAAAUCAUAACACUAUGGAUAAUAGCUUACACAACAAAAACAAAAAGAAAAUCAGAACGGUACACAAAAUUUAAUCAUAAUAAAAAAUAAAGAAAUGUACAACAUAAUUUCCACAGGUAAAGUCUAAUCAGUAAUUUAUGAUCAUUGUCAAGAGGACGCUGUUAUUCUCAUUUAUAUAGUGACAGCUCAGUAUAGUGUGGGAAAUGUAGUAUUUAAAUUCCGCAACAGGGUGCGUGAUCCUAUAAACACUAAAAUGAAAUCAAUUAGGUAAAUAAUAAAUACUCACCACAUGCAUUUCCGAUCAUAGGACGCGACGAGCAAGUUGUCUCCGGCAGGGUGCACGGCCAUUGAGCUUAUCCA